AAGCAAGGAGAACAUCCUCUUCCUUGACAUUUAGGCUACAGUUUCUUUCCUUCCAGACACGGGACAGGUGUGAAAAUCCACAGACAACUUUCCUACCAGAUCCCUAACACGAAUAAAUCCCCUGGACAUGGCUUUGCCACUCACGCAGGGUGAGAUUUGUGCGCAAGUUUGUGAACAACUAUUUUCAGGAUGAAGCAGAUGAAGACUAAAUUAGAGCAAACGGUUCCGAUGAGCACCUUGAGAAUUACCAAGUGCAACCACUUUCACUGAGCCACACACGAUGCGUUGGCUUCACAAAAACAAGGUGGCCCAACACAAUUCCUCUUCAUUUAGUGCAGCCCAGACAAGUCAAAAGGAUGGACACUCGUGGUACAGACGGAACAGGGUAGACUAACAACUGACUUGGCGCAGGCCUUGGAGAGGGACAGAAUGGGCCCCGUCUGGAGGUGUCUACACUGGGCCUCCCCGACCCCUGGCAGGAAGGUACCUGGGAUUCUAACCCCGGAUCUCAGCCAACACCCAGGUUUCCUAGUUCAAUGGGAAGGGGAGGUGACCCAAGAAGUGUCUCUGUAAACACUGGGGAGACCCAGGGAGGAGGCUUGGGAAACAGAUUCUCGCAAACAGAGGUUCUUUAAGGGCCCUUGGUGGGGUGUUGGGAGGGCAUCCCAAAGGGAGGCCAGUUCAGAAUUGAGCAAGAAGUGGUCAGUGCUGUCAGGUCGGGGCAGCUGCAGCUGGCCUCUGGGGUGCAGAAGGGCAACAGCAGGGACAGCAGGGAUGGGCAGAGACAGAGAGGAUGCAGCCCAGCCCAGCCCAGCCUGUCUGUGGACCAGGGGCCUCUGGCAGCAUGGGAGGCUGCCUGUGGUGCCGCUCAGAGGACACAGCUUCCGGGAGAGGCCCGGCAGGCGGGGGCCUGGGGCUGAUCUGACCUUUCUCCUCCCACUGCAAGAAGGUGACUGUGCCUGAGCAACAGGAGGCAGAGGGCUGGCUCUGCCCCUGGGGGCACGAGGGGGUUUUUGAAGGGAAACUAAGAGAAGACGACAUUGGAACCAAGAAGGUUAUGUUUCCUCCUCUUCCUUUCCUACAAAGGAGUGCGGAGGGCAACAGAGACCUUCUACACCCCCUCCCUUUCAACCUCCAGCCCUAAAUGUCCUUUUCACUUCACAGCACAUGAUAGGAACAUGAUGUCAUUUGUUCUGUUACUCAUCACACUGGCAAACACAGUUACGGCCAACCCAACAAACUGCUGUCCACAGGGUCAGUGGACUCUGACCCCACCAAAGCCCGUCAUGGCUUUGGUGCACCCUUCGCCUGGCCAGCCAUUUCCACGGCAGCGCAGGCCUCUGGGCUCAGGGGCCGUGGGGGAGCAGGCCUUACUCCGGCACAGUGUGAUGGUGGACUUCGGUCCUGGCCUCGCCCCAGACGGCUGUGGGUCUGUGGCCCACACAUGACUUUCCUGUGCCUCGGUUUCCUUAUCUCUUAGAGGAUACAGGGCCAGCUUUUCAGGGCUGCAGGAGGUGGCAGCAUGUGUACAGUGCUUCACAGGCAGCAUCUCAAAAAGCUUUACUAUGUGCCUACUAUGUGACAGCACUACCCGGGGCUGAAGGUAGAGUGGUGAAAUGGCCCCGUCCACCCCAAAAAGGCUGCCUGGCACGGGGGAGGGGGAGAGAGGUUCUGAGGUCACAUGGCCCAGCAGCAAACUGGUGUUUCGUUUGGGGCAGGUCACUUAACCUCUCUGUUC